rfam:Canis lupus familiaris chromosome 2, whole genome shotgun sequence.
GCCUGGGUGGCUCAGUGGUUGAGCGUCUGCCUUUGGCUCAGAGCGUGAUCCCAGAGUCCUGGGAUCGAGUCCCAUGUCGGGCU